rnacentral:lncRNA from 1 species
GUGCCUCCAUCCUCAAUUGGAGACCUUAGACCUCUUCUCAGAUCUCUCCAGCCAACUCUUCGCCUCAUCGUCGUUGACCCAAAGUGAACUCCCAACCUCCCAUCUCAGUCGCCUUCUAUUUUAACAUCAUCAACAUCAAUCUACUACUCCUCCUAAGCCCCGAUCGCCGUCUUUUAUCAUUACCUGUUGUCGUUCUGCUUCCCUGCCAUCAUUAAUCUUGCCCUCACCUAAGGUAUG